UACGGGGGGAGCAAGCGUUGUUCGGAUUUACUGGGCGUAAAGGGCGCGUAGGCGGCUUAUCAAGUCGGGGGUGAAAGCCCGUGGCUCAACCACGGAAUGGCCUUCGAUACUGGUAGGCUUGAGACCGGAAGAGGACAGCGGAACUGCGAGUGUAGAGGUGAAAUUCGUAGAUAUUCGGAAGAACACCAGUGGCGAAGGCGGCUAACUGGCCCAUUACUGACGCUGAGGCUCGAAAGCGUGGGGAGCAAACAGG
rnacentral:rRNA from 1 species